GACAGGAUUAGUGGAAUAAUUUGAGCCUGAUUAGUAUUUCGCUGGACUGUGCAAAAUGUCACAGCAGAGGAAAACACAAACAUGCAGGUAGAUUCAGACCUACUGCUGUUUGAUAUAAGGAGAAGAUGGUGCUCUCCAUGGUGCUCUCCUCCCCAGCUCAACAUGUUCAACCUGAUGAGCAACUGCUGCAACUGGGUCUCCAAACUCCAGCAGCCUCUGAGGAAAGUUACAGUGCUCGUGGUUGGUCUUGACAAAGCUGGAAAAACGUCAUGUGUUAGAGGGAUGCUUAGAGCACCGAUAGGAGAGGUGGGCUCUACCCACGGCUGUGUUCGCAGUGAGGUGAGGGUGGAGAACUUCCUGGUGAACCUGUUGGAUAUGGGUGGAGGUCCUGAGGUUCGAGGUUUGUGGAGGGGGUAUUAUGGCGAGGUCCACGGGAUCGUCUUCGUGGUGGACUCCAGCGACAGACAGAGGAUGAAGGAGGUGAAGGAGCUGCUGACGGAGAUGCUGAAGCAGCCCAGAGUCGCAGGAAAACCUCUAUUAGUGCUGGCCAAUAAACAGGAUAAAAUGAAUGCCUUGCUGGGAAGUGAACUGAUUGAGGUUCUGUCCCUGGAGAAGCUCGUCAAUCAGAGCCAGUCUCUGUGCCACAUUGAGCCAUGCUCAGCCUUAAUGGACCUGCGGCGCUGGUCGGAGAGGAAGACACUGCGUGGUCUGCGCUGGCUCCUGCGGGCGGUGUGUCUGGAUUACCCAGAGCUCUGCACCCGCAUCAUCAGAGACGGCAGGAGACCACUGGGACCAGAGGAGAGAGAGAGGAAGGGGAAAGUGGAGAAGAGCCAGAAGAAGAACAGAGAUGAAAGAAUAAUAGCCAGUAAAACGGAUAUCCGGCAGGUGCACGACCCUCUGGAGAAAGAAAGAAGAAGUGGCAGCUCUCUACAGCCAAUCAGAGACAUUCUGAAAAAGGAGAACUCCUUUACGAAGAAGCUGAAAAAGAAGAAGAAGAAGGUGAAGGUAAAGAUGAAGAAGAGAACAGUGAAGACAGAAGGGAAGAGUGAGGAAGACGAGGCAGGGCAGGAGGAAGAGGAAGCAGAAGGAAACGAGGCAGAACACAACGGGCAGAAGGAGAAGGCCAGCAGUGCCCUGUUACCGAGGAAGCGCGGGAAACUUAAACGCAAAGCUAAAGUUAAAGAGGAGACGCUGGACCAGAUACCGUCUACAGAAAACGAAGACUCUAAAACACCUAAAGGGAAAGGGGAAAAGAAGAAGAAGAAAAAGGUGGUGAAAGGAAAAAAGAAGAACAAAAUAAACACAGAAAGAAUACCAGCAGCUUAUACACAACCGGCGGACCUGUCCGCCACUUUCGAUCUGUACAGGAAAGCAAUUUUGGCUCUGAAAGCCCGGCAGGAUCAGGAGCUGGUUCCGGAACAAUGACGAGACUGGACUGUGCGAAAAUAAUAAAUCUGCAGAAUCACUGAUAGCUUAUAAACAUAUUGCACAACCCCAGCUUCACACCCAGCUGUUUUAUCACCUCCUGAGUGAUGGAUUUUAGCAUGACUGAAAUGGUUCUAGACUGACACUCAUUGCCAAUAGUUUGGAUAAGAACAGAAGAGCAGCAUUUUCAAAAAACAAAAAAACAAAACAAAACAAAAAAAAACAAGUAUUAUCUUUACAACUAGAGCUGGAUGAUAUGGUUAAAAUUUACAUCACAAUACAGUACCAGUCAAAAGUUUGGACAUCCACACUAUGAAGAAAAACUGAUGGAAUUAUUUAGGAAACAAAAAAGUGUUAAACAAACCAGAAUAUGUUUUAUAUUUGAGCUCCUCUUGCUUAGAUUAGACAGUUUUGCACGUCUCUGCUGGAUUUUCUCAGUCAGCUUUAUGAGGUAGAGUCACCUGGAAUUCAUGCUUUCAGUUAACAGCUGUGCUGAACUCAUUAAGAGUUAAUUACUUGAAUUUCUUGUCUCUUAAUAAAGUGUUUGAGAGCAUCAGUUAAAGUAAAGUAGUGAAGAGGUAGAGUUACAGGUAUACAGUGAAUAGUCAAUAUUUGAGUAAUGUUCUUAUUUAUAUUAUGAGAAGCAAAAACUACUCAACUAAAUAACGAAAAUAAAUACUUUAAGAAAAAAUGAAGGUCAGUCAAUAUAAAAAGAAGAAUUUCAAGAACGUUAAAAGUAAAUGCUUUUUUGGUUUGUUUAACACUUUUAAGUUACUACAUGAUUCCUUAUGUGUUGCUUCUGGAUCACUUCACUAUUCAUUUACAAUGUAAGGAAAAAAAUACAAAAAUUAAAUAAAAACAUUGUAUGAGAAUAUGUGUCCAAACUUUUGACUGGUACUGUAUAUUUUCUAGUUUUGGUCACUACAAUAUAGAUAUGUCCAAUUUAUCACCUGACACACUGUCAAAGUGCGCACAAUGAAUGUCUGCACCAACAAACUGUAUUUUGCCCAUUUAUGUAAUGCAGCCUGUAAUGAACGUCAGUCAGAAAUGGAUACAGUAAAUAAUGUAUUUAAAAAUAUAUUGGAAAUGUAUUUAAAAAUGAUAUCAAUGUUAUUUACACAUUUUCUGUUGUGAUAUAUAUUAAUAUUAAAUUAUUGUCCAGCUCUAUAUACAUAAUUCAUAUUUUUAUGAGAUUUGGUGUUGGUUGCAGUGUUUUUUAUUUAUUUAUUUUUAAUAAUUUAGAAUAAAAUGUGUACAUGUUACAGGUAUUGUAACAUGGUCUAUGAGAACGUGAGUAGAAAGUGUGAUGUUUAUUUGUGAAAAAUAUAAUGUUGUUUUUAAACUAACGUAGUUUAGUGUACAUUUCUUUGUUUUUAUAUACAUUUAUGUCUUUUUCAUUCAUUUUUUUAUUCAUUUUCUGGUAGGUUUCAGUAAAAAGGAAAAUGUUGCUUGAUGGGAUUUGCAGGUAGACGCCUCCCCUGAUCUGAUAUUUUCCAUCAUAAAUUUUUAUGCAGUAAAGGCGCUAGCAUAACUGCUACUGGGCGCUGACUGAUCGGUGAGCUGAUGCUGGAGAUACAGUCAAAGAGAGCACUGAGCACUUUUAAAGGUUAAAAAUAUUUAUAACUGGAGUUUAAAAGCUUUGAAAUGGCGUCUCUGGUGCUGAAACAUUUGUGAGUAUUCUGUAUUGAGGUAAGUAGUAUAUUUUUAGUAUGAAAAUAAUUAAACGUUUGAAAAUUCUGAUUUUGCUCAGUUGCUCCAUAUGGAACCAUUUAUUUUGGACUCACUCGGGAGAGCCCUCUGGCUGAAGAGUGGGUAUUCUCCUCCAUUAGAGUCUCUGUGGCUUUAUCACUGAAAACUGACCCAGAGUCGGUUUAUGGAGAGCUAUUUACUACCCAUAUCUGUCUGUCCCUUUAUCAGAAAAUUACUGUUAACCGCUAGAGAGAGCCCACGAGUGAGUGCCCCUCAAUAAAUGGGGGUGAAUGGAGCUAAUCGUGUAAAAACUCAAUUUGGCCAUGAUAUUCCUUUGAUUUUGGAACGUAGAAUAAAUAAUUUAGAUAAAAAAAGCUUAGAAAAUGAACCUGUAUAUUUCCAUUUCUAUACAGUACACGGGUUUAGGCAUUAGAAGCACCAGCUUUACAGCUACUGUGGGCUGAUCCUGGAGAUACAGUCAGAGCACAGAGAUUAAACAAUUAAUAACUUACGUUUAAACGCUUUUAAAAUUAUGUCUGCAUUGAUGAAACAUUUGAUAGUGUUCUGUGUUGAGAAAAAAUAUAUAUAUUUUUCAGUUUU